UUCAAAAGCAGUGUGCAAACAGCAGCCGGGUGAUUGAGUGACUGCUUGGAAGAAGGACAGUGGGGAGCCUGCCGAUCGUCCUCAAGCUGUCUAUGUUAAAAGAACUCUUUGGUGUUCUGUUUGGAGAAAAAAAUAUUUGAAGAUGGAACUAAUGCCAAAGUACCUUUGUCUUUUUAUUCUUGUGAUUUUAGUGGAAUAUCAGCCUAACUUACAAUUGGUUUAUUCAGCACCCACAACACAGAAUGGAUCCCAAGGCGAGCUGGGUAAUCAAAAUGGAAUGAUAAAAUAUUAUGGAUGUACUUCAAGUUUCUCAGGCAUAAUAAAAAAUUUCACUAAUAUCCAGGAGACUAAACCUCAGAAGGAUGUUGAAAUCGCAUAUGCUAUACCUAAAAGAUACAUCAAAUGGAAUUUAGAGAAUAGAGAAUUCUAAAAUUCAUUCCAAAAUUAUCUGUAAUUUCUCUUCAUUACAGACAGGAUGCCUAACUUUCACUAAUAAAUGCAUGAUGACAUCAGAAAA